GAUGAACGCUGGCGGCGUGCCUAAUACAUGCAAGUCGAGCGAACAGACGAGGAGCUUGCUCCUCUGAUGUUAGCGGCGGACGGGUGAGUAACACGUGGAUAACCUACCUAUAAGACUGGGAUAACUUCGGGAAACCGUAGCUAAUACCGGAUAAUAUAUUGAACCGCAUGGUUCAAAAGUGAAAGACGGUCUUGCUGUCACUUAUAGAUGGAUCCGCGCUGCAUUAGCUAGUUGGUAAGGUAACGGCUUACCAAGGCAACGAUGCAUAGCCGACCUGAGAGGGUGAUCGGCCACACUGGAACUGAGACACGGUCCAGACUCCUACGGGAGGCAGCAGUAGGGAAUCUUCCGCAAUGGGCGAAAGCCUGACGGAGCAACGCCGCGUGAGUGAUGAAGGUCUUCGGAUCGUAAAACUCUGUUAUUAGGGAAGAACAUAUGUGUAAGUAACUGUGCACAUCUUGACGGUACCUAAUCAGAAAGCCACGGCUAACUACGUG
rnacentral:rRNA from 1 species